rnacentral:tRNA from 1 species
GAAGUAGUGGCUCAGUGGUAGAGCACUUGCCUGGCAUGUGUGAGGCCCUGGGUUCGAUUCUCAGCACUGCA